rnacentral:snoRNA from 1 species
AACCCAUGAUGUGGACAUUUUCUAAGCAAAUCCUUAUAUCUUUCCCAAGCUUCAUACAAUGAUUAUGAAUCAAAUUGCACAAAAGAUGUGAUGUCAUUUCACAUCUU